rnacentral:rRNA from 1 species
UCGAGAAUUUUUCACAAUGGGCGAAAGCCUGAUGGAGCGACGCCGCGUGGGGGAUGAAUGGCUUCGGCCCGUAAACCCCUGUCAUUCGCGAUCAAACCUGGCUAUUUAAAAGAUGGCCAGCUGAUAGUAGCGGAAGAGGAAGGGACGGCUAACUCUGUGCCAGCAGCCGCGGUAAUACAGAGGUCCCAAGCGUUGUUCGGAUUCACUGGGCGUAAAGGGUGCGUAGGUGGUGAGGCAAGUCGGAUGUGAAAGCUCGGAGCUCAACUCCGAAAUGGCAUUGGNAACUGCCUUGCUCGAGGGUCGGAGGGGGGACUGGAAUUCUCGGUGUAGCAGUGAAAUGCGUAGAUAUCGAGAGGAACACCAGUGGCGAAGGCGAGUCCCUGGACGACUCCUGACACUGAGGCACGAAAGCUAGGGGAGCAAACA